GCAGAUUUCUCCUUUCCUCUUCUUCUUCUUCUUCUUCUAUUAA
rnacentral:sRNA from 1 species